ensembl:lncRNA
CGCAGAAGCUCCCCAAGUUGUCAAAACAUCUCGUCGAACAAAACGAAAACAAAUCGUCCAUCCAAGUGCAGGCAAUGUGGUUUACCGUAACACAGAUACACGUUGAGGCGCGUAACUACACUUCGUGGCGUGUUUAGCUAGGCUCGUGCGUCGCAAUCUCAGUUAUAAACCAUUGCGUAAAGGAGGUUUGGCGGACGCAAACUUUCCUGAACCUGACUCGUAACUUCGUGCUGUCUGACCUUCAGAGCGGCGGCCUCCUGAUUGGACGAAUGGAGUAGGAACGCAACUAUAGCAGCCAAUGAACAAAGGGUGUGGAUGAGCCUUCCCCUGGACCAAAAUAACCCGCUGUACUUGGGUGACUGCAUCACCCAAUCACGUGGUUCCUCAAAAUCUUGACUUUUCCAAAGCAUCAUGGGAUGGAGCUGAUAUCUUGGCUUGAUCGAAGAUGACAU